UCAUAAGUCAUAACUAUAUCUUUGUAGCUUUGUAAUAGUCAAAUCGGUUAAGGGUCAAAUAUAUUCUUGUACUAUUAAAAAUAUGACAUAUUUAUCCUCUGUUUGAAUUUCUUAUCAUAUAUGUCCCCACCGUUAUACAUUAGGGCCAUAUAUAUCCCUCCGUUAAAACACCCUUCCAUAUUUUUUAGUAGCACGUGGCAUCUUAUGAUUGGACCAGACGACCCGCCCCAUUCCUUUAAUUAAACCCGCCCCAUUCCCAAAGUAUUGAUUACCACCUGGACAUGUGAAUGGGAGCCUAAAAGGCGAAACAGAUGUUGUUGAAAGGUUUUACUCUGUUUGAGAUCGAAGCGCAUUCCAGCAUACAUUUCAGAGUUGUCAACGUUCUUCAUCAUCAGUUCAAUCUCUUUAAGCAACCUUUCUGCCUCAUCUUUUAUCUGAAAAUAAACAAUGGACUCCAUAUUCCAACUGUUAUUCAUUUUUAUGCCCAAGGUUCAAAUUAAUGUUGGGCUCUAGUAAUUUAAAUACUGUUUGAAACAGCUAAUAAUGCAGCAACUCACUCUUGUGUUCUGGAGUUAAUAUAUACCUGCAAGUGUAGUACUUAAAGUACAAAAUCAGUAGCACGCUGAAGUAGCUUUUCAGCAACAAAAUGCGUUUCUCAUUAUCUGCAAGUAUCUAUGAAGCCUGCUUCUUGUAAAAGUAGAUUUUGACUUUUAUUUGCAAAUAAGUUUUCUGGUAAACCAUCUGAAAGUGAUUAAGAGGAUUAGAAAUUUCUAGAGAAGUGUGAAAAUAACUUCUUGAGGUCUGUAACUUUUUAGAGGGUAAUGUUGCGGACCGCCCAAUUU
rnacentral:lncRNA from 1 species